ACUCCUACGGGAGGCAGCAGUAGGGAAUCUUCCACAAUGGGCGCAAGCCUGAUGGAGCAACACCGCGUGAGUGAAGAAGGGUUUCGGCUCGUAAAGCUCUGUUGUUAAAGAAGAACACGUAUGAGAGUAACUGUUCAUACGUUGACGGUAUUUAACCAGAAAGUCACGGCUAACUACGUGCCAGCAGCCGCGGUAAUACGUAGGUGGCAAGCGUUAUCCGGAUUUAUUGGGCGUAAAGAGAGUGCAGGCGGUUUUCUAAGUCUGAUGUGAAAGCCUUCGGCUUAACCGGAGAAGUGCAUCGGAAACUGGAUAACUUGAGUGCAGAAGAGGUAGUGGAACUCCAUGUGUAGCGGUGGAAUGCGUAGAUAUAUGGAAGAACACCAGUGGCGAAGGCGGCUACCUGGUCUGCAACUGACGCUGAGACUCGAAAGCGAUGGGUAGCGAACAGGAUUAGAUACCCCGUGGUAGGAUAGCG
rnacentral:rRNA from 1 species